AAAAUUUUGGUUUUAAAGAUUUUCGUUUUUGAAAGUAAAAGAGCAAUAUCAGCAGAGUUGAUWUUGCUYUUUUACUUUUYAGAGUCUUUUUUUAAACAUUUUUUUMUMCAAUUUAWUAUAUAAAUUAWAUAAAAAUUGUGGAUUUWUUAUAAUAUUCUUUAGUUUANGCAUUUUUUAUUUUWUCAUAAGAGAUAAAAAAAAANUGUAAAAAAAAAAUGAAUGUUCCCCCAACAGUUUUUUCUUAGAAGACGAUUCAAAACUURAARAAAAAAAAAAAAAAGCGAACGAAAGAGUACAAA
rnacentral:misc_RNA from 1 species